rnacentral:rRNA from 1 species
CACGGGGGGCGCAAGCGUUAUUCGGAAUUAUUGGGCGUAAAGGGCGCGUAGGCGGUUCUGUCGGUCAGAUGUGAAAGCCCGGGGCUCAACCCUGGAAGUGCAUUUGAAACAGCAGAACUUGAGUACGGGAGAGGAAAGCGGAAUUCCUGGUGUAGAGGUGAAAUUCGUAGAUAUCAGGAGGAACACCGAUGGCGAAGGCAGCUUUCUGGACCGAUACUGACGCUGAGGCG